rnacentral:rRNA from 1 species
GACGAACGCUGGCGGCGUGCUUAACACAUGCAAGUCGAGCGGUAAGGCCCUUUCGGGGGUACGACGAGCGGCGAACGGGUGAGUAACACGUGGGUGACCUGCCCUUAGCUCUGGGAUAAGCCUGGGAAACUGGGUCUAAUACCGGAUAUGACUCCAUGACGCAUGUUGUGGGGUGGAAAGCCUUGUGCGGCUAGGAGUGGGCCCGCGGCCUAUCAGCUUGUUGGUGGGGUGAUGGCCUACCAAGGCGACGACGGGUAGCUGGUCUGAGAGGAUGGCCAGCCACAUUGGGA